AAGUGAGUGUCUUAAUAUCCUUUUGAACCUUAGAAUUUUAAGUGACAGUGAUGGUAUUAAGGAGGAAAAUUAUAAAGAUGUGACCUACUCCCUGACUUACAGUAUCCAACAUUUAAUGAGACCUGUUAUGUGCCCGUUAUGCUUCCCUGCACAAACAUGUAUUCCUUUUUUAAAAAUUAUAUUCUGUUAAAAACAUUUAUUUAUUACAUAAUAUCAUUACUCUUAAUUUUGUAUAUAAAUAAGUAAAACAUUUACUAUAUUCUUAGCUUUGUACAAAUAAGAAAAAUACCUACAAUAGAUAGUAUCUGCUUAAUGAUGCAUUUCAACUCAAUUUUAGGAAAUGGUACUAUGUUGCCACUAAUACGAUUAUUAGAGGUUAUCAGGUUAUGUUAAUGACCAAGGCCUAAAAUAGUCCUUGGAUUUCACGUUGUCAUGAAUACCAGAAAAUAAUUUAUCCAUCUGGAAUCACAGACUACAUCAAGAAUAAUAAUGAAAUGCAUAUUAACAGUAAUCUAAUUUAAAUACUGUAUCAGGGACGCCUGGGUGGCUCAGUGGGUGAGCAUCUGCCUUUGGCUCAGGCCGUGGCCCCGGGCCAAGGGAUAGAGUCCCGCAUCAGGCUCCCUGCAUGGAGCCUGCUUCUCCCUCUCCCUAUGUCUCUGCUUCUCUCUCUCUCUCUCUCUCUCUCUGUCUCUCAUGAAUAAAUAAAUAAAAUCUUUAAAAAUAAAUAAAUAAAUACUGCAUCAACAGUGUCUCUCCAUAUCUAUAUUUAAAUAAAUACGAACUAUUAGGCAGUAUUUUUUAAAUGAAUGCGAUAUUAGCAGUUUUCUACCUGGCAUCAAAUUUAAGACAUUAAAGAUAAUACUUUUAAUUUAAAUCCUAGACUGGAGACAAAAUGGCUAUUGAAAUAUAUUUUUUGGUGGUGUGGUGAUUUGUUUAACUUAUUUUUGCAACUUAAUUGAGCGGCAAGGAACUUUAUAUGUGGAAAUGGAGCAAGCCCCACAGUGGUUCCAGAGAAAAAAUGUUCUUUACAUUGCAAAAAUUAUUUGUACAUAGUCAGAAUUUAUCCAAACAGAAUAUAGAUGUAGAUAUGUAGAUAUGUAGAUAGAUAGAUAAAUAGAUAGAUAGAUAUCCAUCCUGACUUCACCACUUUAACCUGAGCAAAUAUAGAUUAUAGGUAAAUGGUUACAAGAUUAUACUGAGAAUUUGCAUGAUUGCUAUUCUGAAAUCAGGCCCGAAUUAUGGUUGUACAUUUGCUUAUUGAUGAACUUUUUAAUUAAUAUCACCUUAAUUGAAAAUCCCAUGUUAUUCUGAUCUUCUUUUGAUAAAAAAUAUGUUGGUUUGACAAAGCAAUGAUCAGAAUUCGUCAUUAAUCAUUUAGGAGUACUGAUUGAAUUAUUAUAAUUAUGCCCUAAUUUGCUGUUAAAUAGACUUGUGUUCCUCAAAAUAGAUAUUUUUAUAUUAAAUGAAUGACUUGUUAAUUUCUUGAAGGAUAAAAUAGACUCAACUUUGCUGUAGUUGCUGUUAAAAAUAUAGGCAAUUAUUCAAUCUGUGGUAGAAAAAGGUUCAUACUGAACCCUUGACUAAACCAUUGUUUAGAAUUAAUGGCACAGCACUGCAUGUCAAAAUGUUUCAAAUCUGUUUUAAAGUAUAUUAUGCAUUUACUCUCCCCAAUGUUUGUUUUGCAUAUUGAAAAUGUGAAAUGAGAAGGCAAAAUGUCAUGUCCAAUGCACCAAGCGCUGAAUAAAAAGCAGAUAGCCUGAUUCAAAUUCUAAACAUUUAUUUACUAACCUACACUACCACUUUUUAUGAGAAUAUUUUUUAGCUUAAGAAUAAAAAUAUUUUUAUAUAUCCUGUCAUUUAAAUAGAAAUAUGAGAUCAAAACGUUUUGAGGUUGAGUUUUUUUUCUUUGUUCAUAGUAGAUGAACAUUAGUAGAUCUUUUUUAAACAUUAUAAAAAUAAAUAAUUUCAGGCAAACCAAUAUUUGAAAAAAUAUUAAUUCUACUAACAUCUCUUUAUAUUUUUAUGUUUUAGAGAAAUUGAAAACUCAUAAUAAGAACUAUUUGAUUUAGCUAAACAUAUUGAAUUAGCAAACAUAGAAGACAAUUUCCAAGGUUAUUUUUCCUCCUGCUACUUGUAUCCUCUUAUCUAAAUGCAUACAGCUUUCAGCCUGAACAAGCAUUUGAAUUCACUCUUCAAAUUAUGUAUGUACACUUGACUUAGUCCAAUGUGGGAAAGUAACAUAAACAGGAAAAUCUGUAGAGCAAACUAAAGCC
rnacentral:lncRNA from 1 species